UUUAAGCGAGGAGGAGGAGUUCUUGGUUAAUACCCAAGAUGCUUGGACGUUACUCGCAGAAUAAGCACCGGCUAACUCUGUGCCAGCAGCCGCGGUAAUACAGAGGGUGCAAGCGUUAAUCGGAUUUACUGGGCGUAAAGCGCGCGUAGGUGGCCAAUUAAGUCAAAUGUGAAAUCCCCGAGCUUAACUUGGGAAUUGCAUUCGAUACUGGUUGGCUAGAGUAUGGGAGAGGAUGGUAGAAUAAGGGCGAAUUCGCGGCCGCUAAAUUC
rnacentral:rRNA from 1 species